GUAAAGAACCAUAUAGCAAAAGCUGCUAUGGCUCAACAUAACGGUGCAAAGGAUAUCGUCAAUCUUACAGAUGCCUUUGAAUGGACUUGAAGCUGUUCUCCAGGAGGUGGUACUAGCACAGCGAGACAAAGCUUACCUCACCCUGGCAUGCCAAGACACACCUUGGCAUUGGCCUUCAAGU